rnacentral:rRNA from 1 species
AUUGAACGCUGGCGGCAUGCUUUACACAUGCAAGUCGAACGGUAACAGGUUAAGCUGACGAGUGGCGAACGGGUGAGUAAUGCAUCGGAACGUGCCCGAUCGUGGGGGAUAACGCAGCGAAAGCUGCGCUAAUACCGCAUACGAUCUGAGGAUGAAAGCGGGGGACCGUAAGGCCUCGCGCGAACGGAGCGGCCGAUGGCAGAUUAGGUAGUUGGUGGGGUAAAGGCUCACCAAGCCAACGAUCUGUAGCUGGUCUGAGAGGACGACCAGCCACACUGGGACUGAGACACGGCCCAGACUCCUACGGGAGGCAGCAGUGGGGAAUUUUGGACAAUGGGCGAAAGCCUGAUCCAGCAAUGCCGCGUGCAGGAAGAAGGCCUUCGGGUUGUAAACUGCUUUUGUACGGAGCGAAAAAGCUCUCUCUAAUACAGGGGGCUCAUGACGGUACCGUAAGAAUAAGCACCGGCUAACUACGUGCCAGCAGCCGCCGUAA